CGGCGCCCCGUGAACGUAACAGCUCCGACGACGGAAGCGUCCGCUGCGGACCGCAGGGACCGGCAGGAACUUUUGAAAACAUACCAGGAGAAGAGGGACCAGAUUCCAAAAUGAACUCCUAAGAAUGAGGUCUCGGAAGUGGGUCUGAAAUUAGGUGAAGCUGGGAGGAAAAAGUUGCCAACUUACUUUUGAGAGAACAGAAGCUUGGGGAAGAUAAACAAGUCACUCAAAUUCACAGCGAUGGGUGGUGCAGUCCAAGCUUCAGGCCCAGAGGUGCACACACUUCAAUUGACUCUUGGAUAUGUGCAAAAAAUGGGAAUGGUCAGCAAAGGAAUGCUGUCCUGAGUUUUUUACACAUCAGUAAUGCUUCCCACUGUG